UACGGAGGGAGCUAGCGUUAUUCGGAAUUACUGGGCGUAAAGCGCACGUAGGCGGCUUUGUAAGUAAGAGGUGAAAGCCUGGAGCUCAACUCCAGAACUGCCUUUUAGACUGCAUCGCUUGAAUCCAGGAGAGGUGAGUGGAAUUCCGAGUGUAGAGGUGAAAUUCGUAGAUAUUCGGAAGAACACCAGUGGCGAAGGCGACUCACUGGACAUGUAUUGACGCUGAGGUACGAAAGCGUGGGGAGCAAACAGG
rnacentral:rRNA from 1 species